ACGAACGCUGGCGGCAUGCCUAACACAUGCCAGUCGAACGAUUGCCUUCGGGUGAUAGUGGCGCACGGGUGCGUAACGCGUGGGAAUCUGCCCUUAGGUUCGGAAUAACAGCUGGAAACGGCUGCUAAUACCGGAUGAUAUCGCGAGAUCAAAGAUUUAUCGCCUGAGGAUGAGCCCGCGUUGGAUUAGGUAGUUGGUGGGGUAAAGGCCUACCAAGCCGACGAUCCAUAGCUGGUCUGAGAGGAUGAUCAGCCACACUGGGACUGAGACACGGCCCAGACUCCUACGGGAGGCAGCAGUGGGGAAUAUUGGACAAUGGGCGCAAGCCUGAUCCAGCAAUGCCGCGUGAGUGAUGAAGGCCCUAGGGUUGUAAAGCUCUUUUACCCGGGAAGAUAAUGACUGUACCGGGAGAAUAAGCCCCGGCUAACUCCGUG
rnacentral:rRNA from 1 species